GCGCACCAGUCGAGAAUACUUCGCAAUGGGGAAACCCGUCGACGAGGGGAGUUCCAAGUGCCAGCACACAGUGUUGGCUGUUCUUCUGUCCAAAACGACAGGAGAAGUAAGGGCCGGGUAAGACGGUGCCAGCCGCCGCGGUAAUACCCGCGGCCCGAGUGGUGGUCGAUUUUAUUGAGCCUAAAACGUCCGUAGCCUGCUUGGUAAAUCCUUGGGUAAAUCGGCCAGCUUAACUGUCCGAAGUCCGGGGAGACUGCCAGGCUUGGGGACCGGGAGAGGUCAGAGGUACUUCUGGGGUAGGGAUAAAAUCCUGUAAUCCUAGAAGGACCACCGGUGGCGAAGGCGACUGACUAGAACGGAUUCGACGGUGAGGGACGAAGCCCUGGGGCGCAAACGGGAUUAGAUACCCGCGUAGU
rnacentral:rRNA from 1 species